UACGUAGGGUGCAAGCGUUUGUCCGGAAUUAUUGGGCGUAAAGAGCUCGUAGGCGGUCUGUCACGUCGGCUGUGAAAACCCGGGGCUCAACCCCGGGCCUGCAGUCGAUACGGGCAGACUAGAGUGCGGUAGGGGAGACUGGAAUUCCUGGUGUAGCGGUGAAAUGCGCAGAUAUCAGGAGGAACACCGGUGGCGAAGGCGGGUCUCUGGGCCGACUAUCGUGCGCUGAGGAAGCGAAAGCGUGGGGAGCGAACAGG
rnacentral:rRNA from 1 species